AGUUUUUCUGCCCAUUGAAUUUAAAAGGCUGCAGUAUAUUGACUGUACAAAGGUAGCAAAAUCAAUAGUUUUUUAAUUGAAAGCUUGAAUGAAAGGAUUGAUAAAAUAUAAACUGUCUCUAACUUUGAAUUUAAAUUUAAAGUUAAAAUGCUUUAAUAAAUUUAUUAGACGAUAAGACCCUAAGAAUUUGAAAAUAUGGGGAAUUUUAAUUUUUAGUUUAUAUCAAUAUUUUUUUAUUGGGAGGGUAAUUAAAUUGAACUUUAAUUUUAUUAAACAUAGAUAAAUGAAUUUAAUGAUAAUUUUUAUAAUUAUAAGAGUAAAUUACCUUAGGGAUAACAGCGUAAUAAUUUUGGAAAGUUCAUAUUAAUAAAAUUGAUUGCGACCUCGAUGUUGAAUUAAAAUAAAAAUUAAGUGAAGAAGCUUAAAAUUUUAGUCUGUUCGACUAUUAAAAUUUUAC
rnacentral:rRNA from 1 species